GAUGAACGCUGGCGGCGUGCCUAAUACAUGCAAGUCGAGCGAACAGAUAAGGAGCUUGCUCCUUUGACGUUAGCGGCGGACGGGUGAGUAACACGUGGGUAACCUACCUAUAAGACUGGGAUAACUUCGGGAAACCGGAGCUAAUACCGGAUAAUAUUUCGAACCGCAUGGUUCGAUAGUGAAAGAUGGUUUUGCUAUCACUUAUAGAUGGACCCGCGCCGUAUUAGCUAGUUGGUAAGGUAACGGCUUACCAAGGCCACGAUACGUAGCCGACCUGAGAGGGUGAUCGGCCACACUGGAACUGAGACACGGUCCAGACUCCUACGGGAGGCAGCAGUAGGGAAUAUUCCGCAAUGGGCGAAAGCCUGACGGAGCAACGCCGCGUGAGUGAUGAAGGUCUUCGGAUCGUAAAACUCUGUUAUUAGGGAAGAACAUAAGUGUAAGUAACUGUGCACGUAUUGACGGUACCUAAUCAGAAAGCCACGGCUAACUACGUG
rnacentral:rRNA from 1 species